UUCCCGGUGGAUCCUGCCGGACCUGAUUGCUAUCGGAUUGGUACUAAGCCAUGCGAGUCAUUGUAGCAAUACAAGGCGGACGGCUCAGUAACACGUAGUCAACCUAACUCGUGGACGUGGAUAACCUCGGGAAACUGAGAAUAAACCACGAUAGAUCAUAGUGCCUGGAAUGGCUUAUGGUCCAAACAGUUUACUGCCAUGGGAUGGGACUGCGGCCUAUCAGCUUGUUGGUGAGGUAAUGGCCCACCAAGGCGAUUACAGGUACGGGCUCUGAGAGGAGAAGCCCGGAGAUGGGUACUGAGACACGGACCCAGGCCCUAUGGGGCGCAGCAGGCGAGAAACCUUAGCAAUGUGCGAAAGCACGACUGGGUCAGUCCGAGUGAUUCCUGAUAAAGGAGUCUUUUGCUUGUCCUAAAAGCACAGGUGAAUAAGGGGUGGGCAAGUCUGGUGUCAGCCGCCGCGGUAAUACCAGCACCUCGAGUGGUCAGGACGUUUAUUGGGCCUAAAGCAUCCGUAGCCGGCUCUGCAAGUCUUCGGUUAAAUCCACCUGCUCAACAGAUGGGCUGCUGGAGAUACUACAGAGCUAGGGAGUGGGAGAGGCAGACGGUAUUCAGUGGGUAGGGGUAAAAUCCUCUGAUCCAUUGAGGACCACCAGUGGCGAAGGCGGUCUGCCAGAACACGUUCGACGGUGAGGGAUGAAAGCUGGGGGAGCAAACCGGAUUAGAUACCCGGGUAGUCCCAGCUGUAAACGAUGCAAACUCGGUGAUGCAUUGGCUUAUGGCCAAUGCAGUGCCGCAGGGAAGCCGUUAAGUUUGCCGCCUGGGAAGUACGGACGCAAGUCUGAAACUUAAAGGAAUUGGCGGGGGAGCA
rnacentral:rRNA from 1 species